CCAACAUCUGUUAAGUGAUUCAUUAGCGUUGAGUAGAAUAAUUCAAAAUCUGAAUUAUUACCAAUUCUCUCACGACCAAGCAGCAGACAAUGUGACGACCAAGUUAUGGUCUCUUUUGAAUUUGUUGUGCAUUUUUAACUAUAAAUAAGAAUGAUUCAAGCCAAUCAAAUUAGUAUUGGACACUUGGCUUUAUGGGUCAACGGUCAGCGGAUGAGAUACGAGGCAUUAUAUAAACACAAGAAAUAUCAAAUAUAUGCCAUUUCCAAGGAGCAUCAGUAAAUCAUAAACAAUAUACCGAAUAAAUAAACAAAAACAUCGGUGUAUAUUAACUAUACUUUAAUAGCAAAAUAAGCCUUUUGUUAUUUAUAGUGUUUUUCCUAACAAGUUUUAUCUAGCAUUCAUUAUUACCAUUGUAUUCUUUGUCAUUCCUUCAAUCUUUUUCUUUUGAUAUGAUAUUUAGAUGUCUAAAUUGUUUUUUUGAUCUAUUUUUGAUUGUUACGUUGGCCAACCAUCACAAAACUAUAAACAAAAAAACAAGCCUAGCCCACCUGAGAAUUUUAUGCAAAAUUACCCAAAUAAAGCUUAUUUGUCAUCAUCAACCAAAUUGGCCAAGUUAUAGAUACAAAGAUAGAUGGCGGCAAUACAGGUAAAUAAAUAGAGCUCAUUGGCCUUUGGAGGUGACAAAUCCAUGAGUGAUCGAUACCCGGGGAAUAUGCGAAUCCCUGUGCUCAGAGAAUGUUUGUUUGUUGAUUCGCGGGCUAUCGAUCGCAUUGAUAAAUGAUCACAUCAGAAGUGAAAAAGUGGAAUGUACGAAUAGAGAAAAGCUAUAUGCUAAACAUUUACAAUGUCGGAAUCUUGUUCUCGCCGCUCUGUCAUUAAGUUUACGACUGCAUUUUGGUUUACUGCAAGUUGGUCACAAAUAAUAGAACAAUAAAUACAAGUCGGCAAGUUACGAAAUUUGGAAGAACCAAUUUAGGUUGAAAAAACUUGCAGAACAAACUGGUUUUAAUAUUUACUACUUUAUUUACCAUUCUAUUUUAU
rnacentral:sRNA from 1 species